UGGGGAAUCUUGGACAAUGGGCGCAAGCCUGAUCCAGCCAUGCCGCGUGGAUGAUGAAGGCCCUAGGGUUGUAAAAUCCUUUCGUUGGGGACGAUAAUGACGGUACCCAAAGAAGAAGCUCCGGCUAACUUCGUGCCAGCAGCCGCGGUAAUACGAAGGGGGCUAGCGUUGUUCGGAUUUACUGGGCGUAAAGCGCGUGUAGGCGGGUCGUUAAGUUGGGGGUGAAAUCCCGGAGCUCAACUCCGGAACU
rnacentral:rRNA from 1 species